UACGAAGGGGGCUAGCGUUGCUCGGAAUCACUGGGCGUAAAGCGCACGUAGGCGGAUUGCUAAGUCAGGGGUGAAAUCCCAGAGCUCAACUCUGGAACUGCCUUUGAUACUGGGUAUCUUGAGUAUGGAAGAGGUAAGUGGAAUUGCGAGUGUAGAGGUGAAAUUCGUAGAUAUUCGCAGGAACACCAGUGGCGAAGGCGGCUUACUGGUCCAUAACUGACGCUGAGGUGCGAAAGCGUGGGGAGCAAACAGG
rnacentral:rRNA from 1 species